AACGCUGGCGGCGUGCUUAACACAUGCAAGUCGAACGAGAAUCUGUGGAAAGAGGAUUCGUCCAAUUGAAGCAGAGGACAGUGGCGGACGGGUGAGUAACGCGUGAGGAACCUGCCUUUCAGAGGGGGACAACAGUUGGAAACGACUGCUAAUACCGCAUAACAUAUAGAUGUCGCAUGGCAUUUAUAUCAAAGAUUUAUCGCUGAAAGAUGGCCUCGCGUCUGAUUAGCUAGUUGGUGAGGUAACGGCCCACCAAGGCGACGAUCAGUAGCCGGACUGAGAGGUUGAACGGCCACAUUGGGACUGAGAUACGGCCCAGACUCCUACGGGAGGCAGCAGUGGGGAAUAUUGGGCAAUGGGCGCAAGCCUGACCCAGCAACGCCGUGUGAAGGAAGAAGGCUUUCGGGUUGUAAACUUCUUUUGUCAGGGACGAGUAGAAGACGGUACCUGACGAAUAAGCCACGGCUAACUACGUG
rnacentral:rRNA from 1 species